UUUAUGGAGAGUUUGAUCCUGGCUCAGGAUGAACGCUGGCGGCGUGCCUAAUACAUGCAAGUCGAGCGAACGGACGAGAAGCUUGCUUCUCUGAUGUUAGCGGCGGACGGGUGAGUAACACGUGGAUAACCUACCUAUAAGACUGGGAUAACUUCGGGAAACCGGAGCUAAUACCGGAUAAUAUUUUGAACCGCAUGGUUCAAAAGUGAAAGACGGUCUUGCUGUCACUUAUAGAUGGAUCCGCGCUGCAUUAGCUAGUUGGUAAGGUAACGGCUUACCAAGGCAACGAUGCAUAGCCGACCUGAGAGGGUGAUCGGCCACACUGGAACUGAGACACGGUCCAGACUCCUACGGGAGGCAGCAGUAGGGAAUCUUCCGCAAUGGGCGAAAGCCUGACGGAGCAACGCCGCGUGAGUGAUGAAGGUCUUCGGAUCGUAAAACUCUGUUAUUAGGGAAGAACAUAUGUGUAAGUAACUGUGCACAUCUUGACGGUACCUAAUCAGAAAGCCACGGCUAACUACGUGCCAGCAGCCGCGGUAAUACGUAGGUGGCAAGCGUUAUCCGGAAUUAUUGGGCGUAAAGCGCGCGUAGGCGGUUUUUUAAGUCUGAUGUGAAAGCCCACGGCUCAACCGUGGAGGGUCAUUGGAAACUGGAAAACUUGAGUGCAGAAGAGGAAAGUGGAAUUCCAUGUGUAGCGGUGAAAUGCGCAGAGAUAUGGAGGAACACCAGUGGCGAAGGCGACUUUCUGGUCUGUAACUGACGCUGAUGUGCGAAAGCGUGGGGAUCAAACAGGAUUAGAUACCCUGGUAGUCCACGCCGUAAACGAUGAGUGCUAAGUGUUAGGGGGUUUCCGCCCCUUAGUGCUGCAGCUAACGCAUUAAGCACUCCGCCUGGGGAGUACGACCGCAAGGUUGAAACUCAAAGGAAUUGACGGGGACCCGCACAAGCGGUGGAGCAUGUGGUUUAAUUCGAAGCAACGCGAAGAACCUUACCAAAUCUUGACAUCCUUUGACAACUCUAGAGAUAGAGCCU
rnacentral:rRNA from 1 species